rnacentral:rRNA from 1 species
AUACGUAGGUGGCAAGCGUUGUCCGGAAUUAUUGGGCGUAAAGCGCGCGCAGGUGGUUCCUUAAGUCUGAUGUGAAAGCCCCCGGCUCGACCGGGGAGGGUCAUUGGAAACUGGGGAACUUGAGUGCAGAAGAGGAUAGUGGAAUUCCAAGUGUAGCGGUGAAAUGCGUAGAGAUUUGGAGGAACACCAGUGGCGAAGGCGACUGUCUGGUCUGUAACUGACACUGAGGCGCGAAAGCGUGGGGAGCAAACAGGAUUAGAUACCCUGGUAGUCCACGCCGUAAACGAUGAGUGCUAAGUGUUGGGGGGUUUCCGCCCCUCAGUGCUGCAGCUAACGCACUAAGCACUCCGCCUGGGGAGUACGGUCGCAAGACUGAAACUCAAAUGAAUUGACGG